rnacentral:rRNA from 1 species
GACGAACGCUGGCGGCGUGCCUAAUACAUGCCAGUCGAACGAGAGCGCCCGGUGCUUGCACUGGUCAAUCUAGUGGCGAACGGGUGAGUAACACGUGGGUAACCUGCCCAUCAGAGGGGGAUAACAUCCGGAAACGGAUGCUAAAACCGCAUAGGUCUUCGAACCGCAUGGUUUGAAGAGGAAAAGAGGCGCAAGCUUCUGCUGAUGGAUGGACCCGCGGUGCAUUAGCUAGUUGGUGAGGUAACGGCUCACCAAGGCCGUGAUGCAUAGCCGACCUGAGAGGGUGAUCGGCCACAUUGGGACUGAGACACGGCCCAAACUCCUACGGGAGGCAGCAGUAGGGAAUCUUCCGCAAUGGACGCAAGUCUGACGGAGCAACGCCGCGUGAGUGAAGAAGGUUUUCGGAUCGUAAAACUCUGUUGUUAGAGAAGAACAAGUGCUAGAGUAACUGUUAGUGCCUUGACGGUAUCUAACCAGAAAGCCACGGCUAACUACGUG